ACGGUUGUAGAUUUAUCAAAUUUGUUAGAAUCAUUGCGAUUAUGUCUGUGUGAUCGAAAGUAGUGUACUGGUUCGACUCAACCAAUUCAGUUCUUCUCUCACUUUCGAAUCAAACUUAUAAAUCAAUUCAAUUCUGAGAUUAAAUGAGAGAUGAUGUUAUAGCAUACUCACUGUCUUUUGAUUGUUGCAUGUGAAAGUUUGAUAUAUAAUAUUUGAUUGAAUAUUAACGAUUUAUGCUUUCAUUGGUUCUCAUGACAUCUCGGGUGGUCGGAACGGAAUUGACAAGAGGAACGGUUUGUUGAACCACAAGAGAGCUCGGUUCGGACUGGCAUCGGGUUCGAGUCGAUCGAAAUCGGACCCGGUUAAAUCGCAGGGAGCUCGAGAACGCAAUCCAUCGAAAGGAAGCAGGCAGAAGGGGCUGAACCACCAUGGACGACGGCGAUAUCCCGGCAACCUCCAGGGCCUCGUCCGAGCCUUCCGCCAGUGGAGGUGGCGGGGUGAAUGGCGCCGAGGGACCUGCUGCCGGCCACGAGGGGUGGGACGCCCUGGCACGGGCGAUCGCUUCGACGCUGGGGGCCGUGAUGAGGGAGUUCGAUUCCAGAGCGGAGGGUACCGCCCGGAGCCAGGACGAGCUCUCCCUUUCUCUAGAUCGCCUCACAGGAGAACUAGACAUAUUGUUAGAAGAUGCACCUUUGCCAUUUAUUAUGCAAUAUGCUGCCAAAAUCUCCUCUCUCUGCAAAAGGGUUUCAGCGCUGAACUUACUUUUGAAAUCGAUUCAGAGGCGCAUUGAUAACAUGGACCAAAUGCUUUCUACUGGCUUACCCACUGAUAACCAUCAAUUGACAGAGCAGUCACAUCAUUAUUGACUUGCAAUUCAGCUAUUUACCGAGUACAUCGUGACCAAAUUGGAUGCAAUUGCUCAUCGGCUAUUAUAGCACACAUCUUCCGGAAUCCUUGUUGCUGCUACUGACACAUUGACUCACUUCAAACCCGGUAAUGCUUUAUCGGAAAAGGCUGCAUAUCUCAUUCAUUUGUGUAGUUUCUAGAUGGGAGUUUAACAUCUGCCGUUCUCAUGUGUUUGUAGAUGUUUGUACUUGAAAUAAAUCCAUUAGCUUAAUGAGGAACUUGUGCAAGUACAUGAGAAGCUCAAACCUAUAUUUUUCCGGUCAACCUAAAUGUUUGCUGCAUCAGUUUUAAGUUGAAAGGUGCUCUUAAUCUCAUAGUGGUAGUGCAAAAUAGCAACAAAACCUGCAUGUCAGGAGCAGAAUUCUGUGUACUCUACACCCAUCUUAUGCAAACGACUGUUGUGUUGAGCUUCA